UGUGGUGCAGUUGCUAGAUUGUAGGAUGUAACUUUUCUUUCUGGGUCGUAGGCCUUCAUGUUUUGAGAAACUGUACUCGAGGAGCUAUACUCUAGGAAUCCUGAGGUGUUUUCUCCACACCUGGACCUGAUUUAGGUAACAAGAUCCUAGACUUCAAGCUGAUGCCGUAAAAGAAUGAGUUUUGGGGAGUCUUUGGAAAGUACUCACUUUAGGGGAAGCCAGAAAUCAUGCUGUGAGGACCCUCCAACAGCCCUCUGAGAACAACUGAAGUCUUCUGUCAACAUCCAGCAUCAGCUUGGUGGCCAUGGAAGAAGCUGAUUGAUGCGGAAGUCAGAAGCCAUCCAAUUUUGUGAUGGUCUAAGUACUCCAGGCAAUUGCCCUGCAGCUGCCAGUGGCUGUCUUAAGCCCACGCGAAAACAAGCACAUUUUCAGCAGGCUCAUUUAGAGCUGCAAGGAGGUCGGUGGCGUGUGCUACGUGUGCAUUUAGGAGUUUGUUUGCAGCUGCGCGUCCUGGACAAAUGCCAAGAGGACAGAAGGUUCUGAAGUUCCUGCAUUGCCGUAUACCCUGAUGCAAAAGGAAGGCCCUGAGUACAUGUGGACUGACUUCACCUGGGGAUAGUCUUGGCCUCUGCACGUAAGAUGAUACAGUGUGCAUAGAGCGCCAAUAAUAUGCAGAACAUUUCUCCUUCCUACUUAGGGAGAGAAGUGCUGGGAUGAAAAGGAUCUGGGAACCUAAGUUUUAUUGUUCUGGCUAGCAAUUUUCAGUGACUGUCAA